UACGGAGGGGGCGAGCGUUGUCCGAAGUUACUGGCGUAAAGCGCGUGUAGGCGGGUUGCCAAGUCCGCUGUGAAAGCCCGAGGCUCAACCUCGGAGGGUCGGUGGAUACUGGCAGUCUUGAAGUGGCUAGGGGGAGAUGGAAUUACCGGUGUAGCGGUGAAAUGCGUAGAGAUCGGUAGGAACACCAGUGGCGAAGGCGGUCUCCUGGAGCUAACUUGACGCUGAGACGCGAAAGCUGGGGGAGCGAACGGG
rnacentral:rRNA from 1 species